UUUCCUACGGGAGGCAGCAGUCGGGAAUAUUGCGCAAUGGAGGAAACUCUGACGCAGUGACGCCGCGUAUAGGAAGAAGGUUUUCGGAUUGUAAACUAUUGUCGUUAGGGAAGAUAAAAGACUGUACCUAAGGAGGAAGCCCCGGCUAACUAUGUGCCAGCAGCCGCGGUAAUACGGAGGGUGCAAGCGUUACUCGGAAUCACUGGGCGUAAAGAGCGCGUAGGCGGGUGGUCAAGUCAGAUGUGAAAUCCUGUAGCUUAACUACAGAACUGCAUUUGAAACUGAUCAUCUAGAGUAUGGGAGAG
rnacentral:rRNA from 1 species